AGCGAACGCUGGCGGCAGGCUUAACACAUGCAAGUCGAGCGGGCAUCCUUGUGGUGUCAGCGGCAGACGGGUGAGUAACGCGUGGGAACGUGCCCUUCGGUUCGGAAUAACUCAGGGAAACUUGAGCUAAUACCGGAUACGUGCGAGAGCAGAAAGGUUUAUCUGCCGAAGGAUCGGCCCGCGUCUGAUUAGCUAGUUGGUGAGGUUACGGCUCACCAAGGCGACGAUCAGUAGCUGGUCUGAGAGGAUGAUCAGCCACACUGGGACUGAGACACGGCCCUGACUCCUACGGGAGGCAGCAGUGGGGAAUAUUGGACAAUGGGGGCAACCCUGAUCCAGCCAUGCCGCGUGAGUGAUGACGGCCUUAGGGUUGUAAAGCUCUUUUCUCCGGGACGAUAAUGACGGUACCGGAGGAAUAAGCCCCGGCUAACUUCGUG
rnacentral:rRNA from 1 species